rnacentral:rRNA from 1 species
UACGUAGGGGGCGAGCGUUGUCCGGAAUCAUUGGGCGUAAAGCGCGUGUAGGCGGCUUGCCAAGUCCGGUGUGAAAUCUCGGGGCUCAACCCCGAAACUGCACUGGAAACUGGCUUGCUAGAGUCCGGAAGAGGAGAUUGGAAUUCCUGGUGUAGCGGUGUAAUGCGCAGAUAUCAGGAAGAACACCCGUGGCGAAGGCGGAUCUCUGGGACGGUACUGACGCUGAGGCGCGAAAGCGUGGGGAGCGAACAGG